AUGGCUAUAAGUUAACGGUAGACUAUUCGUCUUCCAAACGAAGUGUGUCGAUUCGAAUUCGACUAGCCGUA
rnacentral:tRNA from 1 species